rnacentral:tRNA from 1 species
GGGGAACUGUGGCCGAGUGGUGGAGCAUUUGCUUGGUGUGCAGAAGGUCCCGGGUUCAAUCUUCAGCAUCUCCA